AGAAGUAGAAAAGGUUUGAAAGAUCUAAUUCAACUUUUAAAGCAAACGGUGGGCAUGGUAUGCUAAAAAGGCUCGAGGAACAAGCUACUAUCUUUUUCGUGAGUUCCUCGGGCAAUGACAAAAGCACAUGCACAAUAAAUAAAGUCAAUAGCGACGCUAGGUUACCCUAGCGGUCUAUUGACUUUUUUAUGGAUUAGAAGAGUCAUUUUUCUCGUUUUCUUCUGUUUUUUUAGAAAUUGUUUUAUGAC
rnacentral:sRNA from 22 species